UAUUAAAUUAUACAUAUAAACCAUGCUCUUGAAUCACUCUAUCUAUUGGUGAAAACUGCAUUAAAAUCUGUUGCGUAGUUUAAAAGAUGUAAGCGUACAUACAGACAGCGGGAAUUGACUUUAUUUUAUACUACUUAUAGAUUCGUCGUCUUCUUCAAGUAUGGCAAGUGCCUCAUGUAAUGUACAACCCCUGUUGAAACAAAAAUGCCAUUACACAUGGUAACACA